UUUCCUGUCCUGUCCUGCUCGCGUGGAGAGAGCAGAGGAAGAGACAGAUGGUCUGUCCAAACGUCAAAUGCCACCCUCUCUCCUCUCUCUCUCUCUCUCUCCAAGCAUGCCCUGAACGUAUUUCGCCCCCUCUCUCUAGCGUCAUAAGAAGAAGAAGGAGAACAUUCGCGACCAGGAAAGGAAAGAAGCUCUCCUCAUGUCUUCAAUGGCGAAUCUGAAAGGAGGGACGAGGCCGCCGUGGGUGGGGCUGGGAGCUGGCGUGUGGCUCCAGGUGGCCUCCGGCAACGCCUUCAACUUCCCCCUCUACUCCCACUCCCUCAAAUCGGUCCUCGGGUUCAACCAGCACCAGCUCACCAUGCUCGGCGUCGCCAACGACAUCGGCGAGAACGUCGGCCUCCUCCCGGGCUUCGUCAUCAACAAGUUCCCUCCUUGGGCCGUCCUCUUGAUCGGCGCCCUCACGUGCUUCUCUGGGUAUGGCGUGCUUUAUCUCGCCGUGAGCCGGACCGUCGAGUCCCUGCCUUACUGGUUGUUGUGGCUUGCCCUUUGUAUUGCCACCAAUAGCAGUGCCUGGUUAAGCACAGCCAUUCUGGUAACAAACAUGAGAAACUUCCCUCUAAGCCGAGGCACAGUCGCAGGGAUCCUCAAAGGUUAUGGAGGCCUAAGUGCUGCUGUAUUUACUGAAAUUUACAGUGUCUUGCUUCGACAUUCCUCUUCCAAGUUACUCGCGUUCCUCUGCAUCGGGAUCCCUCUCCUCUGUAUCACCCUGAUGUACUUUGUUAGGGCUUGUACCCCUGCUUUGGGUGAAGAUGCUUCAGAACACAGCCAUUUUCUUUUCAUACAAGCUGCAAGCAUUGUGCUUGGCUUAUAUCUCCUAACGACAACAAUAUUGGGUGACGUGCUGUCUUUGGCACCUCCCAUAUCCUUUAGUUUCAUUGUCAUUAUGAUUCUCCUUCUCAUGGCUCCUCUAGCAAUACCUGUCAAGAUGACAUUGUUUCGCAGUGUGACGAACAAAUCAGAGACUUCUAACCAAUCAGCUACGUCUUCGGGUUGUCCAAUAAAUGAGAAUGUCGAUGAGAAAACUGAGCCACUUUUGACACACGUAUCAUCUGCAACACAUGUAGGAAGUUUCCGUGAGAGUGAUGGGCCGUCAGAGAUUGACUUGCUUUUGGCAGAAGGUGAGGGAGCAGUGAAGAAGAAGAGGAGGCCCAAGAGAGGGGAGGAUUUCAAGUUUUUCGAGGCUCUUGUGAAGGCAGAUUUUUGGCUUCUGUUCUUGGUGUAUUUUGUUGGAGUUGGUACUGGCGUGACUGUGCUUAAUAAUCUGGCCCAAAUAGGGAUUGCUCAAGGUGUCCAUGACACAACCAUCUUGUUGUCUCUCUUCAGUUUCGGCAACUUUGCGGGCCGUCUUGGCGGGGGCGUCGUUUCUGAACAUUUUGUCAGGACGAAGACUAUGCCUCGAACAGUUUGGAUGACGUGGACGCAAGUUGCUAUGAUUGCCAUAUACCUUCUAUUUGCUUCUGCUUUUGAUGGCACGCUUUAUGCAGCGAUUGCAUUGCUCGGUUUCUGCUACGGCGUCCAAUUCUCUAUAAUGGUCCCGACUGUCUCCGAACUUUUGGGCUGAAGCAUUUUGGAAUAUUUUACAAUUUCAUGUUGAUGGGGAAUCCAAUUGGUGCAUUCCUCUUCUCCGGCCUCCUAGCUGGGUAUAUUUAUGACAACGAGGCUGCCAAACAGCACGGACUCACUCUCCACGGACUCAUGCUUCUAAAAUCGAGCGUGUCCUGCCUCGGUCCAAACUGCUUUAGGCUCACUUUCCUUGUUCUUGCUGGUGUCUGCGGCUUUGGUGUGAUUAUGAGCAUAAUUCUCACUAUCAGAAUAAAGCCCGUUUACGAGAUGCUCUAUUCUGGGGGUUCAUUUAGGUUGCCAAACAGUUCUCGUCACUGACUGACUCAAAGGACAGAGCAUGGACAUGGAAUUUUAACUCAUUGGACAGCAUGUGGUCACCAGUCCGCACCCAGAAAAGCAAACUAUUGGUUAUAAAGAUUGGUCAUGUUAUGGAGAGUGUACUUCGCGUUGAAGCAAAGAUCUGCAUUUUUUCUGUUCAUCACAUUGCAGAUUUGACUACUUUGACGUGAUUUUUUGUCAUUAAAAGAGUAUCCGGCGUGGAUAUGGAUGUAUGAACUUAUAUUAUAUGGGCUUAAAUGUGGUGUUGGAAAAUUUAAGCUAGAGUACUUAUACCUGCUCAACAAAGGAAGGAUGUGCAUGGUUAUUUAUGAUAUUAAGAGUUAUGAUACUAAGAGUUCAGCUA